GCAGGCUUAACACAUGCAAGUCGAGCGGUAGCAGUCCUUCGGGAGCUGACGAGCGGCGGACGGGUGAGUAAUGCAUGGGGAUCUGCCCGGUAAUGGGGGAUAGCCCGGGGAAACUCGGAUUAAUACCGCAUACGCCCUACGGGGGAAAGCAGGGGAUCUUCGGACCUUGCGUUAUCGGAUGAGCCCAUGUCGGAUUAGCUAGUUGGUAGGGUAAAGGCCUACCAAGGCGACGAUCCGUAACUGGUCUGAGAGGAUGAUCAGUCACACUGGAACUGAGACACGGUCCAGACUCCUACGGGAGGCAGCAGUGGGGAAUAUUGGACAAUGGGGGCAACCCUGAUCCAGCCAUGCCGCGUGUGCGAUGAAGGCCUUCGGGUUGUAAAGCACUUUCAGUCGGGAGGAAAGGCGUAGUGCUAAUAUCACUGCGAGUUGAUGUUACCGACAGAAGAAGCACCGGCAAACUCCGUGCCAGCAGCCGCGGUAAUACGGAGGGUGCGAGCGUUAAUCGGAAUUACUGGGCGUAAAGCGCGCGUAGGCGGUUGCUUAAGCGAGAUGUGAAAUCCCCGGGCUUAACCUGGGAAUGGCAUUUCGAACUGGGUGACUAGAGUUUUGGAGAGGAGAGUAGAAUUCCCGGUGUAGCGGUGAAAUGCGUAGAGAUCGGGAGGAAUACCAGUGGCGAAGGCGGCUCUCUGGCCAAAAACUGACGCUGAGGUGCGAAAGCGUGGGGAGCAAACAGGAUUAGAUACCCUGGUAGUCCACGCCGUAAACGAUGAGAACUAGCCGUUGGGCCCCUUGAGGGUUUAGUGGCGCAGCUAACGCGAUAAGUUCUCCGCCUGGGGAGUACGGCCGCAAGGUUAAAACUCAAAUGAAUUGACGGGGGCCCGCACAAGCGGUGGAGCAUGUUGUUUAAUUCGAUGCAACGCGAAGAACCUUACCACCCCUUGACAUACUCGGAACUUGGCAGAGAUGCCUUGGUGCCUUCGGGAACCGAGUUACAGGUGCUGCAUGGCUGU
rnacentral:rRNA from 1 species